rnacentral:rRNA from 1 species
GAGUUUGAUUAUGGCUCAGGAUGAACGCUGGCGGCGUGCCUAACACAUGCAAGUCGAACGAAGCAUAUAGAAGGAAGUUUUCGGAUGGAAUUUUAUAUGACUUAGUGGCGGACGGGUGAGUAACGCGUGGAUAAUCUGCCUUACACAGCGGGAUAACAAGUGGAAACAGUUGCUAAUACCGCAUAAGCACACAGUAUCGCAUGAUACAGGGUGAAAAGAUUUAUCGGUGUAAGAUGAGUCCGCGUCCCAUUAGCUAGUUGGUGAGGUAAAAGCUUACCAAGGCGACGAUGGGUAGCCGGCCUGAGAGGGUGAACGGCCACAUUGGGACUGAGACACGGCCCAGACUCCUACGGGAGGCAGCAGUGGGGGAUAUUGCACAAUGGGCGAAAGCCUGAUGCAGCGACGCCGCGUGAAGGAUGAAGUAUUUCGGUAUGUAAACUUCUAUCAGCAGGGAAGAAAAUGACG